rnacentral:rRNA from 1 species
GAGUUUGAUCCUGGCUCAGGAUGAACGCUAGCGGGAGGCUUAAUACAUGCAAGUCGAACGGUAACAGGCGUAGCAAUACGUGCUGACGAGUGGCGCACGGGUGAGGAACACGUACGCAAUCUGCCUCUGACUGGGGGAUAGCUCCGGGAAACUGGGAUUAAUACCCCGUAACAUUACGGAAGGGCAUCCUUCUGUGAUUAAACCUCCGGGGGUCAGAGAUGAGCGUGCGUCUGAUUAGGUAGUUGGUAGGGUAACGGCCUACCAAGCCAACGAUCAGUAGCUGGCGUGAGAGCGCGACCAGCCACACGGGAACUGAGACACGGUCCCGACUCCUACGGGAGGCAGCAGUAGGGAAUAUUGGACAAUGGCUGAAAAGCUGAUCCAGCCAUCCCGCGUGAAGGCAGAAGGUCCUAUGGAUUGUAAACUUCUUUUCUCUGGGAAGAAAAUACGGGUUUCUACCUGUACUGACGGUACCAGAGGAAUAAGCACCGGCUAACUCCGUGCCAGCAGCCGCGGUAAUACGGAGGGUGCAAGCGUUAUCCGGAUUCACUGGGUUUAAAGGGUGCGUAGGCGGGCUUGUAAGUCAGUGGUGAAAGCCCGGGGCUUAACUCCGGAACUGCCGUUGAUACUGCAAGUCUUGAGUACAGUUGAGGUGGGCGGAAUACAUCAUGUAGAGGUGAAAUUCUUAGAUAUGAUGUAGAACACCGAUUGCGAAGGCAGCUCACUAAAGUGUAACUGACGCUGAGGCACGAAAGCGUGGGGAUCAAACAGGAUUAGAUACCCUGGUAGUCCACGCCCUA